rnacentral:rRNA from 1 species
UACGUAGGGGGCAAGCGUUGGUCCGGAAUCAUUGGGCGUAAAGCGCGUGUAGGCGGCUCGAUAAGUCUGCUGUGAAAGUCCAGGGCUCAACCCUGGGAUGCCGGUGGAUACUGUCGAGCUCGAGUCCGGAAGAGGAGUGUGGAAUUCCUGGUGUAGCGGUGAAAUGCGCAGAUAUCAGGAGGAACACCAAUGGCGAAGGCAGCACUCUGGGACGUGACUGACGCUGAGACGCGAAAGCGUGGGGAGCAAACAGG